UGGACGCAGAGCCUAGAGGAAGAAUCCUCUGCCCCGUCGGGGAUCGAACCCCAGUCGUCCAGCUAGUCACAAUACUGACUGAGCUAUUCCGGCACCCAUAAGUUCAAAGACUCAUUACUUAUGAAACAUUGGCAGAAGUGUCUACUUUAACAAGCGCACGUCUUCUCAUAGCAAAAGUUUCAGAUAAUGGCAGGCGCAACAACGCAACCGCGACCAACAACGGAAACCUCAACUUAGGCCAGUGGACAUAAAGCUAAGUAAUUCGAUUUAGAUAAUACAUCAACUCUUGUGAAAUUAACGUCCAGUGUGGUAUUAUUUAAAGUAUGGUUUUAUAAACUACCACUUUUGUACUUUAUAACAAACCAUCGUCUUGUGAAUUGUAUGAUUUAAUAUGAAUUAAUUUGUUUACCACAGAUGAUGA